rnacentral:rRNA from 1 species
CCUACGGGUGGCAGCAGUGAGGAAUAUUGGUCAAUGGACGAGAGUCUGAACCAGCCAAGUAGCGUGAAGGAUGACUGCCCUACGGGUUGUAAACUUCUUUUAUAAAGGAAUAAAGUGAGGCACGUGUGCCUUUUUGUAUGUACUUUAUGAAUAAGGAUCGGCUAACUCCGUGCCAGCGGCCGCGGUAAUACGGAGGAUCCGAGCUUUAUCCGGAUUUAUUGGGUUUAAAGGGAGCGUAGAUGGGUUGUUAAGUCAGUUGUGAAAGUUUGCGGCUCAACCGUAAAAUUGCAAUUGAUACUGGCAGCCUUGAGUACAGUUGAGGUAGGCGGAAUUCGUGGUGUAGUGGUGAAAUGCUUAGAUAUCACGAAGAACUCCGAUUGCGAAGGCAGCCUACUAAACUGCCACUGACAUUGAUGCUCGAAAGUGUGGGUAUCAAACAGGAUUAGAUACCCCGGUAGUC